UUUGGGAGUGCUCGCAAGAGAGCCGGAACACAGGUGCUGCAUGGCUGUCGUCAGCUCGUGUCGUGAGAUGUUGGGUUAAGUCCCGCAACGAGCGCAACCCUUGUCAUUAGUUGCCAUCUAUUUGGUUGGGCACUCUAAUGAGACUGCCGGUGACAACCGGAGGAAGGGUGGGGAUGACGUCAAGUCCUCAUCGGCCCUUAUGGGUAGGGCUUCACACGUCAUACAAUGGUCGGUACAGGAGGGUUGCCCAACCCGCGAGGGGGAGCUAAUCCCACAAAGCCGAUCGUAGUCCGGAUCGCAGUCUGCAACUCGACUGCGUGAAGUCGGAAUCGCUAGUAAUCGCGGAUCAGCAUGUCGCGGUGAAUACGUUCCCGGGCCUU
rnacentral:rRNA from 1 species